rnacentral:lncRNA from 1 species
GGGACAGAGAGAGGUCCCAUGAGCAAUGGCCCAUGGCACAUAAUAAGGUGUGCAUGUUGCGUGAAUGAGAUGAUGAUAGAACAGCUGCUGAGUAUCUAAGACAUGGCAGAGGGAGACCUAACUGUUAAACGUAUGUGCAGGAACGUAUCUUGGAAAAUGAGAGGGUGUGGUCCUGACUUGGGGACUGGAGUGGGUCUCUUUAGUUUAAAGUGAGGGUGGGGUGGGGGAGGAACUCACACAGCUCUGAUGGAAUGUGGUCUUGCGCAUGGAAGUUUCAAAUGCCUUAAAAUCUCAUUCCUUUCA